GUAGUCUGCAACCCGGCUACAUGAAGCUGGAAUCGCUAGUAAUCGCGGAUCAGAAUGCCGCGGUGAAUACGUUCCCGGGUCUUGUACACACCGCCCGUCACACCAUGGGAGCCGGAAAUGCCCGAAGUCAGUGACCCAACCGCAAGGAGGGAGCUGCCGAAGGUGGAGCUGGUAACUGGGGUGAAGUCGUAACAAGGUAUC
rnacentral:rRNA from 1 species